AAUGAACGCUAGCGGCAGGCUUAAUACAUGCAAGUCGAGCGGAGACUUCGGUCUUAGCGGCGAACGGGUGAGUAAUACCUAGGAAUCUGCCUAUUAGUGGGGGAUAACGAAUCGAAAGGUUCGCUAAUACCGCAUACGUCCUACGGGAGAAAGGGGGGAGUCUUCGGACCUCUCGCUAAUAGAUGAGCCUAGGCCGGAUUAGCUAGUUGGUAGGGUAAAGGCCUACCAAGGCGACGAUCCGUAGCUGGUCUGGGAGGAUGAUCAGCCACACUGGAACUGAGACACGGUCCAGACUCCUACGGGAGGCAGCAGUGGGGAAUAUUGGACAAUGGGGGCGAACCCUGAUCCAGCCAUGCCGCGUGUGUGAAGAAGG
rnacentral:rRNA from 1 species